UACGAAGGGGGCUAGCGUUGCUCGGAAUUACUGGGCGUAAAGCGCACGUAGGCGGAUCUUUAAGUCAGGGGUGAAAUCCUGGAGCUCAACUCCAGAACUGCCUUUGAUACUGAGGACCUUGAGUUCGGGAGAGGUGAGUGGAACUGCGAGUGUAGAGGUGAAAUUCGUAGAUAUUCGCAAGAACACCAGUGGCGAAGGCGGCUCACUGGCCCGAUACUGACGCUGAGGUGCGAAAGCGUGGGGAGCAAACAGG
rnacentral:rRNA from 1 species